UACGUAGGGGGCUAGCGUUGUCCGGAUUUAUUGGGCGUAAAGAGCGUGUAGGCGGCUAGGUAGGUCCGUUGUGAAAACUCGAGGCUCAACCUCGAGACGUCGAUGGAAACCAUCUAGCUAGAGUCCGGAAGAGGAGAGUGGAAUUCCUGGUGUAGCGGUGAAAUGCGCAGAUAUCAGGAAGAACACCCGUGGCUAAGGCGGCUCUCUAGUACGGUACUGACGCUGAGACGCGAAAGCGUGGGGAGCGAACAGG
rnacentral:rRNA from 1 species